UUCUCCCUUGAAAAGCCAAUGCCCAAGGCUUGGGCAUCCUCCAUCUUUCACGCUCAAAAGAGUUUGGGCAUCCCUUUUGUUGGCUGGUUUCUAUUCUCUGAUUACUUCAUAAUCAAGAAAAAAAAGCAAGAGAAGAAGAAGAUCAAGAAAAAGAUCAAAGAGUUGAUCGCGAUCCAAACUUCGUUCAGAUUCGCAGGCUG
rnacentral:lncRNA from 1 species